rnacentral:snoRNA from 1 species
AGACCGUGAUAUGGGCAUUUCCUUAGUAGCUCCUUGAACCUUUCCCAUAUCUCGUACAAGGAUUCCCCGUCUUCUUGAGAGUAGGUGUUGAUCUCGCUUAUGAGUUU